CCUGCUUUUGCUGGGUGGAGGAAAGGAGCCCUAGAGAACAGCCACAGGGGCAGCACUGAGCUCACAACUGGUCAGGAGCACCAGAAGGACAAGGGACUCCUUUAACGAACUCUAAUAGCCUAAGGGAGUUGUUAAGCAUUUAUCAGCACAGCCCUGGGGACAUGCUGCAUCAAUGGUGCUGAAGCAAAAACCUGGCAGAAACUGGGAGCUGGCCUGGGAAACUGUCUUACCUGCCUUGCAGAGAAGUUCUUUUAUACUUCAAGAGAUUGCAAAAGAGUGCAUAGAUGGAGUUUCGCUCUUGUUGCCCAGGCUGGAGUGCAAUGGCACGAUCUCGACUCACUGCAACCUCCACCUCCUGCGUUCAAGCGAUUCUCUUGCCUCAGCCUCCCAAGUAGCUGGGAUUACAGGCGUGUGCCACCAUGCUCGGCUAAUUUUGUAUUUUCAGUAGAGAUGGGGUUUCACCAUGUUGGCCAGGCUGGUCUCAAACUCCUGACCUCAGGUGAUCCACCUGCCUCAGCUUCACAAAGUGCUGGGAUUACAGGCGUGAGCCACCAUGCCUGGCUGAGAAAUAAUGAUAAAAUGCAGUGGAUCUGAGAGACAAUCUUAGGAAAUACUGCAGGGAACUAAAGCUCUU